GCGUGCGCAGGCGGUUAUAUAAGACAGAUGUGAAAUACCCCGGGCCUCAACCUGGGAACUGCAUUUGUGACUGUAUAGCUGGAGUGCGGCAGAGGGGGGAUGGAAUUCCGCGUGUAGCAGUGAAAUGCGUAGAUAUGCGGAGGAACACCGAUGGCGAAGGCAAUCCCCUGGGCCUGCACUGACGCUCAUGCACGAAAGCGUGGGGAGCAAACAGGAUUAGAUACCCCAGU
rnacentral:rRNA from 1 species